GAUGAACGCUGGCGGCGUGCCUAAUACAUGCAAGUCGAGCGAACAGACGAGGAGCUUGCUCCUCUGAUGUUAGCGGCGGACGGGUGAGUAACACGUGGAUAACCUACCUAUAAGACUGGGAUAACUUCGGGAAACCGGAGCUAAUACCGGAUAAUAUAUUGAACCGCAUGGUUCAAUAGUGAAAGACGGUUUUGCUGUCACUUAUAGAUGGAUCCGCGCUGCGUUAGCUAGUUGGUAAGGUAACGGCUUACCAAGGCAACGAUGCAUAGCCGACCUGAGAGGGUGAUCGGCCACACUGGAACUGAGACACGGUCCAGACUCCUACGGGAGGCAGCAGUAGGGAAUCUUCCGCAAUGGGCGAAAGCCUGACGGAGCAACGCCGCGUGAGUGAUGAAGGUCUUCGGAUCGUAAAACUCUGUUAUUAGGGAAGAACAAAUGUGUAAGUAACUAUGCACGUCUUGACGGUACCUAAUCAGAAAGCCACGGCUAACUACGUG
rnacentral:rRNA from 1 species